rnacentral:rRNA from 1 species
AUUGAACGCUGGCGGCAUGCUUUACACAUGCAAGUCGAACGGCAGCGCGGGCUUCGGCCUGGCGGCGAGUGGCGAACGGGUGAGUAAUGCAUCGGAACGUGCCCAGUAGUGGGGGAUAGCCCGGCGAAAGCCGGAUUAAUACCGCAUACGACCUGAGGGUGAAAGCGGGGGGCCGAAAGGCCUCGCGCUAUUGGAGCGGCCGAUGUCGGAUUAGCUAGUUGGUGGGGUAAAGGCUUACCAAGGCGACGAUCCGUAGCUGGUCUGAGAGGACGACCAGCCACACUGGGACUGAGACACGGCCCAGACUCCUACGGGAGGCAGCAGUGGGGAAUUUUGGACAAUGGGGGCAACCCUGAUCCAGCCAUGCCGCGUGCGGGAAGAAGGCCUUCGGGUUGUAAACCGCUUUUGUUCGGGAAGAAAUCCUCUGGGCUAAUACCCCGGGGGGAUGACGGUACCGGAAGAAUAAGCACCGGCUAACUGCGUG